UACGUAGGUGGCAAGCGUUAUCCGGAAUUAUUGGGCGUAAAGCGCGCGCAGGUGGUUUCUUAAGUCUGAUGUGAAAGCCCACGGCUCAACCGUGGAGGGUCAUUGGAAACUGGGAGACUUGAGUGCAGAAGAGGAAAGUGGAAUUCCAUGUGUAGCGGUGAAAUGCGUAGAGAUAUGGAGGAACACCAGUGGCGAAAGCGGCUCUCUGGACUGUAACUGACACUGAGGCUCGAAAGCGUGGGUAGCAAACAGG
rnacentral:rRNA from 1 species